CGCUGGCGGCGUGCCUAACACAUGCAAGUCGAACGGGGCAAUUUCUUCGGAGAUUGCUUAGUGGCGAACGGGUGAGUAACGCGUGAGAAACCUGCCUUUCAGUGGGGGACAACAGUUGGAAACGACUGCUAAUACCGCAUAAUGUAUCGAUGGGGCAUCCUGUUGAUACCAAAGAUUUAUUGCUGAAAGAUGGUCUCGCGUCUGAUUAGCUAGUUGGUGAGGUAACGGCUCACCAAGGCGACGAUCAGUAGCCGGUCUGAGAGGAUGAACGGCCACAUUGGGACUGAGAUACGGCCCAGACUCCUACGGGAGGCAGCAGUGGGGAAUAUUGGGCAAUGGGCGCAAGCCUGACCCAGCAACGCCGCGUGAAGGAAGAAGGUCUUCGGAUCGUAAAGCUCUGUUGAGAGGGACGAGAGAUAUAAUCAGGAAAUGGGUUAUAGAGGACGGUACCUUUCGAGGAAGCCACGGCUAACUACGUG
rnacentral:rRNA from 1 species